rnacentral:rRNA from 1 species
UACGUAGGGUGCAAGCGUUGUCCGGAAUUAUUGGGCGUAAAGAGCUCGUAGGCGGUUUGUCGCGUCUGCUGUGAAAACUCGGGGCUUAACCCCGGGCCUGCAGUGGGUACGGGCAGACUAGAGUGCGGUAGGGGAGAGUGGAAUUCCUGGUGUAGCGGUGAAAUGCGCAGAUAUCAGGAAGAACACCCGUGGCGAAGGCGGCUCUCUGGGACGGUACUGACGCUGAGACGCGAAAGCGUGGGGAGCGAACAGG